rnacentral:tRNA from 1 species
GUGGGUGUAGCUCAGUGGUUGAGCACCUGCUUCACAGGUAUGAGGUCCUGGGUUCAAUCCCCAGUACCUCAUA